AGUUUCACAGCAGAAUCUUUUCCCUUGCCCUUUCUAGCUCUCAAGUCAGCCCACAUUCUUGGCUCGUGGCUCCUUGUCCUCAAAGGUAUCACACCACCCUCCUCCCUUCUCAGGAUCUUUGAUGUAAUCAUAUCAGCAAAGUCUCUUUUGCCAUCAUACCAGGGAUCUUCAGGAGGGUCAUUAUUCUGCUUACUACAGAAAUACUAUGGUUAGAUGACAGACAUAUUGAUCCAAGAGUUUGGGAGGGAAACUAUAUGGAACAUUUUUUGCUGGUGUCAGCUUUUCACCUGGACUUUGGGAUCCCUAAGGAG
rnacentral:lncRNA from 1 species